UACGUAGGGUGCGAGCGUUGUCCGGAAUUAUUGGGCGUAAAGAGCUUGUAGGCGGUUUGUCGCGUCUGGUGUGAAAUUUCGGGGCUCAACCCCGAACUUGCAGUGGGUACGGGCAGACUAGAGUGUGGUAGGGGAGACUGGAAUUCCUGGUGUAGCGGUGAAAUGCGCAGAUAUCAGGAGGAACACCGAUGGCGAAGGCAGGUCUCUGGGCCACUACUGACGCUGAGAAGCGAAAGCAUGGGGAGCGAACAGG
rnacentral:rRNA from 1 species